UCUACCACUGGCGUAUACACGUGUCCCUUACAUUCAUCACGGAUAUUCAUAUCAUCCGCAGGAAAUCAUUAAGACUUCCUCUCCAGACGUGUUCCUCUCGUUCCUUUUUUGAACGCAAAUCUUACCCGUAACAUAUCUCUUAAAAGGCGAGCGGAAAGGAAACCAGGCGACACAUCGGCAUCCGAAGCAGAUAGGACCACUCGGUAGGCAAGUUCAAGCUGCAAAGAAGUUGAAACUGAAAUUGUUUCAUCGUGUCCUAGAGCAAGAUGAAGUCCCUAUGGCUGAUCUCCCUUCUAUGCAUCGCUUAUCUGAAGAUAAACGCGAUUAGCGCGACCUCUCCUGUACGCCCACCCGACUGCGGUGUUGGAGAAGUGUGGACGGGAUGUGGAUCGCCAUGUCCUCUCGUUUGCGGUAAACCAUAUCCGACUAUCUGCACUGCAAACUGCCUUUACAAGUGCGACUGCCAAGAAGGCUACAUCCGAAGUGGAAGCGAGAACGGCCCUUGCAUACCGCUCAGCGAGUGCUCGGAGGUUCCGGAACCCCCCAGCCGUCCUGGGCUCUGAUGGCUUUAUUGACGGCACGAUGGCGAUUGUAAUUCGUCAAAGGAGACACCACCUUCAAUGUUCUAACUGAUAAUUAUUCAAUGUCUUGGAUAUAGUUCACUUUGCAUAAACACGUACGUUUCGAAAGUGCA